AAUGUCAUGUGGAUGGGAUGGAUGAGAAUCAGGGAUUUGCCAUUCUUUGCAGGCUACUAAGAGGCUGUUUAUGUUGCUUUUGCACCAGAUGCAGUAGAGAACGGUCCUUCCUCUGGAACUGCAAUAAGAUUGGAUCAGAAACUGUGAAAUGGCAUGAAAAGGUCCCCAGGUGUUCACCUAAAUGCAGAAACCUGGAACAGCACGAUGACCAGGAAUAGUGCUUCAGCUGCUAAUGUCUGUCUCCUACCUUGGGGGCUGAGGAGCUUUGGAUAAGUGCCUAAGAGAGCUGCUGUCUUGGUGCCAGACACAUUUCUGCCCACCUUUUGGUGCUACGUUUAUGGCAUACACUUGAAGAUAGGAUCUCCACUGUAGCUCAGCUGAAAUCAGGCACCCACUAAUGCACAGCAUACUUAUAUAAAGCUGCUUUCAACUUAUGCCACUGUGUUUACAUGUAUUCCCAUAAAAUCCACACAUUAAACUUCUUCAAAAUUCCUAAUG
rnacentral:lncRNA from 1 species